AAUCCAUGAUGUGGGCAUCUUUGUAUUAGCAUUUGAAAAUGCUCCCGAGUUUCAUGAGAGCUAUCUCCUUCUAACUGUUUGAACUUUGCGAUCUCUCUCCUUAGUUG
rfam:Gossypium hirsutum cultivar TM-1 unplaced genomic scaffold scaffold655.1, whole genome shotgun sequence